UUAGAGUUUGAUCCCUGGCUCAGAUUGAACGCUGGCGGCAGGCCUAACACAUGCAAGUCGAGCGCGAAAGUUCUUCGGAAUGAGUAAAGCGGCGGACGGGUGAGUAAUACAUGGGAAUCUGCCUGGUAGUGGGGGACAACGUUUCGAAAGGAACGCUAAUACCGCAUACGCCCUACGGGGGAAAGGGGGGGAUCUUCGGACCUCUCGCUAUCAGAUGAGCCCAUGUCGGAUUAGCUAGUUGGUGGGGUAAAGGCUCACCAAGGCGACGAUCCGUAACUGGUCUGAGAGGAUGAUCAGUCACACUGGAACUGAGACACGGUCCAGACUCCUACGGGAGGCAGCAGUGGGGAAUCUUGCGCAAUGGGCGAAAGCCUGACGCAGCGAUGCCGCGUGAGCGAUGAAGGCCUUCGGGUUGUAAAGCUCUGUGGAUGGAGACGAAGAAGUAUGGGUUAAUAUCCCAUGCGGUGACGGAUCCAUUAGCAAGC
rnacentral:rRNA from 1 species